rnacentral:lncRNA from 10 species
GCAAGAGCCACACCUGGUACCUGUGCCCAGCUGCAAGAGGCCCAUGGCUAUCUGGCCGGUAAGGAUCCACAAGGCUGCAAGGCACUUUUGUAUGUUUCCUGGUUGCACAUGUGUGUUGCUUUCUCUUGGAUGGAGGGGCCAUGGAGACGUGGACACAUCUGAAUGGAGUGGCAGAGGGACAGAUGACCAUGGGUACAAACUUCAUCUCCCAGGAACAGGUGUGGAAGGUGGGAUUUGAAGCCUGACCAGGAGGUCUGCCUGGGCAUCUGCACUUCCGGCAGUUCAGGUUUGAUUUCUAGUGUCUCAAAUCUAUGCAACGAUGCCUUGGCCAUGAGCUGGGUUACAGCAAAAAACUAAGGUGAAUUUUCACAAAAUUGAGGAGCAUUGCUUGCAGUCGACUAAGAUGUCUUUCUUCACAUUGUUAACUAAUGAGGUCAGGCGUGCCCGUUAGGAAAGUGAGCGGGUUUGUAGGCAGAAGGGCCAGGGCAGCAGAUGGGGCUUUAGUGGGUUCACACUUGAUGGCCCAGGGCUGGUGAGCCCUGUGGUGUGGGAAAGAUUACGCAGGAAGUCAGGGCGCCAUCUCUCCUCGGUGUUCCAAUUCCAAGCCUCAGUUCCACACACAGAAUAACCAUAAACAGGGAAAUCCGGCUCUCUGCAUCUGUCGUGUAUGCUGUCAUGUAUGCAGAGAGCUGAAUUUGAGAGGGCAGCUGCAGCACAUUCCGAACAGGAGGAGUUGAAAUUCACCUGCCCUCAGCAAUGCCCGAUUUGAAGUGCAGGUCCUAGGUUUCAGAGUUGGUACCCAAGGUUGCAAAGGGUGAGGGCAGUCAGGAAACUUGUGUGAGGAAACUUGUGUGAGGAAACUCAGUGUAGACAAUUGCUUGUCCAACUAGGUGAAAAGCAAAAGAUCCUUUUAAUUCUGGAGUAGACAUUAAGAAUUUCUUGAUUUCUUGGGCAGCUUACAAUAAAAACUCAAUGUGGCAGGCUGGGCGUGGUGACUCACACCUGUAAUCCUAGCACUUUGGGAGGCCAAGGCAGGAGGAUCUCUUGAGGCCAGGAGUUUGAGACCAGCCUGGGCAGCAUAGUGAAACCCCAUUUCUACAAAAAUGAACUAAUUAGCUGGGUGCGGUGGGGGAUACCUGUGGUCCCAGCUACUCUGGAUGCUGAGGUGGGAGGAUCACUUGGGCCCAGGAGUUCAACGCUGCACUGAGCUAUGAUUGCAUUGCUGCACUCCAGCCUGG